UACGUAGGUGGCGAGCGUUGUCCGGAUUUACUGGGCGUAAAGGGAGCGUAGGCGGACUUUUAAGUGAGAUGUGAAAUACUUGGGCUCAACUUGAGUGCUGCAUUUCAAACUGGAAGUCUAGAGUGCAGGAGAGGAGAAUGGAAUUCCUAGUGUAGCGGUGAAAUGCGUAGAGAUUAGGAAGAACACCAGUGGCGAAGGCGGUUCUCUGGACUGUAACUGACGCUGAGGCUCGAAAGCGUGGGGAGCAAACAGG
rnacentral:rRNA from 1 species